CUUUAAAAAUCUGGAUCAAGCUGAAAAUUGAAACACUGAACAACGAAAGUUGUUCGUGAGUCUCUCAAAUUUUCGCAACACUGAAGUGAAACAUCUUCGG
rnacentral:sRNA from 1 species